AAACCAACCGGGAUUGCCUCAGUAACGGCGAGUGAAGCGGCAAAAAGCUCAAAUUUGAAAUCUGGCACUUUCAGUGUCCGAGUUGUAAUUUGUAGAAGUAGUUUUGGGACUGGUCCUUAUCUAUGUUUCUUGGAACAGGACGUCAUAGAGGGUGAGAACCCGUAUGAUGAGACCCCCAGUCCUUUGUAAAACGCUUUCGAAGAGUCGAGUUGUUUGGGAAUGCAGCUCUAAGUGGGUGGUAAAUUCCAUCUAAAGCUAAAUAUUGGCGAGAGACCGAUAGCGAACAAGUACAGUGAUGGAAAGAUGAAAAGAACUUUGAAAAGAGAGUGAAAAAGUACGUGAAAUUGUUGAAAGGGAAGGGCAUUUGAUCAGACAUGGUGUUUUGCGCCCUUUGCUCCUUGUGGGCGGGGGAUACGCAGCUCACUGGGCCAACAUCAGUUUUGGGAGCAGGAUAAAUCUGUAGGAACGUAGCUUUCUCGGGAAUGUUAUAGCCUAUGGGAAUACUGCUACCUGGGA
rnacentral:rRNA from 1 species